rnacentral:rRNA from 1 species
AUACGUAGGGGGCGAGCGUUGUCCGGAAUGAUUGGGCGUAAAGGGCGCGUAGGCGGCCCGGUAAGUCUGGAGUGAAAGUCCUGUUUUUAAGAUGGGAAUUGCUUUGGAUACUGUCGGGCUUGAGUGCAGGAGAGGUAAGUGGAAUUCCCAGUGUAGCGGUGAAAUGCGUAGAGAUUGGGAGGAACACCAGUGGCGAAGGCGACUUACUGGACUGUAACUGACGCUGAGGCGCGAAAGUGUGGGGAGCAAACAGGAUUAGAUACCCUGGUAGUCCACACUGUAAACGAUGAAUGCUAGGUGUAGGGGGUAUCGACCCCUUCGGUGCCGCAGUCAACACAAUAAGCAUUCCGCCUGGGGAGUACGGCCGCAAGGUUGAAACUCAAAGGAAUUGACGGGG